rnacentral:rRNA from 1 species
UACGGAGGGUGCAAGCGUUGUUCGGAAUUAUUGGGCGUAAAGAGCUCGUAGGCGGUUUGUCGCGUCUGCUGUGAAAUCCCGAGGCUCAACCUCGGGUCUGCAGUGGGUACGGGCAGACUGGAGUGCGGUAGGGGAGAAUGGAAUUCCUGGUGUAGCGGUGGAAUGCGCAGAUAUCAGGAGGAACACCGAUGGCGAAGGCAGCCUCCUGGGCCAAUACUGACGCUGAGACGCGAGAGCGUGGGUAGCAAACAGG